GAUGAACGCUGGCGGCGUGCUUAAUACAUGCAAGUCGAGCGGACGGACGAUGAGCUUGCUUCUCUGAUGUUAGCGGCGCACGGGUGAGUAACACGUGGAUAACCUACCUGUAAGACUGGGAUAACCUCGGGAAACCGUCUCUAAUACCGGAUAAGAUUUUGCACCGCAGGGUUCAAAAGUGAGAGACGGUCGUGCGGGAACUUAUAGAUGCAUACGCGCUUCAUGAGCUAGUUGGUAAGGUAACGGCUUACCAAGGCAACGAUGGCUAGCCGACCUGAGGGGGUGGUCGCCCGCACUGGAGCUUAGACACCGUCCCUAGUCCUACGGUAGGCAGCAGUCGGGUAUGUUACGCAAUGGGCGGAAGCCUGACGCAGUGGCGCCGAGUGUGAUAUGACGGUCUUCGGUUCGUGAUGCCCUCUUUCUAGUGAAAAACAUAUGUGUAAGUUGAUGAGCCCAGCUUGACGGUACCGAGUAAGAAAGCACCGGCUAACUACGUG
rnacentral:rRNA from 1 species